rnacentral:lncRNA from 1 species
GAAUUUGAGCUCUCAAAUCAAUUUAGUGGAUCAUAUUAUUAACUACUACAACAAAAUGGUAUUUUACUACAAAAAUUUUAGUUAUUGAAGAUAAGAAAUUAAUCUCUUUCUAUUGUUUAUGACAUAAAACAAAUUAUCACCCAUUAAUCGCGAAAGUGCAUCAUGAAAAAAUAUAUUUUGUGACUUGAUAAUUUACCUCAAAUUAAAAUUCAAUCAUUAAUGGUAUCAAAAUAGUCAAUUUAAAUAUUUAAAAGUGUAAUUAGUGACACUAUAUUUUUAUCACUGUAGGAAAUUUAUAGUCACUAAAAUAUUUUUUUAAAGGGUAAGUAAAAAUAGUCGUAAAUGAUUUUAUAAAUAGACACUUUUGAUGGUUCGAAAAUACAAUCAAUGAUAAUAAAUAUUUUGUUUUCACUUAAUGCUAGCUAUCAAGAUAUAUAUUUUUUUUAAUCUCCAAAAGGUGUCAUUUACAACAAUUAAUUUUGUCUCAACUUCACUUUUAUUACAAUGUAUUGUGUUAUGUCACGACUACUUACAUUGUCUAGAAAAUGUUUAGGUGACUAUUUUCUAUUGUCAAUAUAAGCAAGCAUCAAUAAAGACAUAUUUUAGUCACAUAAAUUGAUAUGUUUGAUUUAAAAAAAAAUGUUAUUCUAUGAACAAUGUCAUUUUUUGGCUUAAUAGACCUUCAAAUUCGAAGAUAAAAAAAAAAUGCAAAGAAUUUUUUUAAAAACAAUUCCUAUAAACAAAAUGUAAUAGUAGAUAAAAUAUACAAAUAACAAAUGAGACCGUAAAUGUAAAUGCACUUGCAAAAUGUAGUUAAAAAUCUAACGAAGCAUUUUUAUGUUUGAUUUAUAUGAAGCAAAAAAUUGCUAACUUGACUAAUGUAAAUAAUUAUGCUUAGUUGCACAUAUUUAAGUAUCUACAGACUACAAUGUACUAAAUCUUAUAAAAAAAAAUUAAACGAAUUAAAAAUAAAAUUAUUAUGGAUGUUAAAGUGUGAAUUUAAGUAAUUCAACCCUGUUAAUUGCCAAUUAUGUCAUUUUUGUUAUAAUUAUUUUGCACUAGAAUGUGAUUGAUUGUAUAUUUUAUCAAUUUUAUAAUUAGUAUUAUCCACCUAGAACCCAUUGAGCAGGCUAAUGGUGGAGCUGCUGGUGCACAAAAACAUAUACCUUGAUUGGUUGAUAAUGAUUGUUGGGAAAACUAGCCUGUAAAUGAUGAUGAUUGACCUCAUCUCAAUAAUUAAUUAAAUUAUCAUAAAUAUAAUUAAAGUGAGCAUCAUUAGUAGAGCCUCCGGAUGGCUGCACUUGGUUUGCUGCCUUGAAGUCUAGGAUUUGAUUGAUUAGCUCCGUGAUACCUUUUUAAGGAAUAAAAAAAUUUAUUCAUUCUUUACUCAAUAAUAUUAGAAUUAUUUGAGAUUGAAUCUUGGUGACUACAUGACUAAACAUUAGUCGCCUAAGAAUAACAUAUGUUUGAAUGUAUAAUGUUCUAAUGGUUCAAUUAUUUUAAUUUGAUCUUGAAAGGUUAAAAAAUAGAUAUUGUAUUAGACCGUGUUAUUUUGUCUUUCAAUUUUAUCCAUAUAUUUUUUUAUAAUUCAAAUGUCACACCAAUUGUUUUUUUUUUUUUUUUUGGUUCUGUUUAUAUAUAUCUAUAUAUAUGGCCUAUAGAUAUGAACAUUAAACUCAUUCAUCCAAUAUUUAAGGGAAAUUUACCAAAUUAGCCAUUAAAAUUUUGCAUUUUUCAACUUUGGCCACCCAAACUUUUUUCAAUAAAAAUUAGCCAAACAUUAAUUUUGAAGACCAAACUACCCCUCUCAUUCUCACCCUCCUCUCUCCCUCAAAUCCUCCCCAUCUCACCGAAAACUUCUCACCGGAAUCGCUUAUCUAUCGCAGCGGCGUAGAGCGGCAUCGGAGUCCAUCAUUGGCGGCUGAAAUCACCUCUCACGUUCAAAAUAAUCCAAGAUCUCCAAAAUCAAUUGUAAAAAUUCAAAACCCUAGGUGAGUUUUUACUUCUUUUUUAUUUGGGUUUUGAUUUUGUGGUGUUGUUGUUGUUGUGGUGUUGGGUUGGUGCGGUUGUGAUGGUUUGAUUAUUUGUAGUUGUUGAUGGCGGUGGUGGGUUGGUGUGUUGCAAGCGGGAUGGGAGAGUUGGAUGUUGUUGAUGGGUGUUGGAUGGCUGCUGCUACCCAUUGGACGAAAUUUGCAGCAGCCAUCGCGCGACGAGCACAACCCAUCGCGCGAGACUCGCGUGUGAUGGGCUGUGCUUUUGUGUGACGGCUUGCCCGUUGCACAAAAACUUGUGCGACGGAUGACCAGUUUUUGUGCAACGGAUGACCAUCGCACAAAAAUACAAAGCAUGUAUUUUGCGCACAUGCUGUGUUUUUGUGCGACAAUAGCACAUGCUCUGUAUUUUUGUGCGACGGAUGCUCGUUGCACAAGUUUUUGUGCGAUCGAAUGAGUGUCACACAAAAAAAUAGUGCUUUUGUACAGAACGUUGAAUUUUUUUUGUUUGAUUUUAUGUCCGUCACACAAAAUUAUACCAUGUCGCCAACGGGCUCUACUAGUUGUGCAUCCGUAAUUUACCACAUCAGAGGCCAUAUGUAACACAACCUUGACUAUUUCAUCGUUAAAUGUGUCCAUAGGCAGUGAACAUGUACGAUACACUGUAUUACUAGACCUCAAAGUUGUCUUCAUGGUAAUAUUGUGUUCAUUACGAUUUAUCUGUAACACAUCAUAAACUCUUGCUAAAAACUGAUCAAACGUACAAUCUUUCCGAAUUAGAAAAGUUGUAUUAUUGCCAUUCAUGCACUCCAUACACUCAUCCGCCAACGUCUCCCACCAACCGUCGUAACACAAUUGAAACACAACUGAAUCCAUUAAACUUAAAAAAUAUAAAAAAAAAACAUAACAAAUGUGGUUACACACUACAAAAUCGUAUAAAGUGCAUAAACGACAUUUUAUAUUGAUUUGGCUAAAACUGUCAUAACAGCUGCCUGUCAUACAUAAUUUGAGGCAAAUUUUUUGUUUGGUCAUAAGAGAGACUCGAAAAAAAAAAUUGUGGGUUUGAUUCGUUUCGUUGCAAAUUUUGAAACUGUAUAUUAUACAAAAAAAAAAAGAAUGAAUUUGGCCUAAAUUAUGACUUUCAGAAAAUAGCCUAACUUUUGUGUAAUCUGAUUUUUUUGUACGACAGAUAAUCUGUCGCACAAAAUUUGGUACGACGGGAACCUGUUGCACAAAUUUUCAGAUUGUGUAAUCUGAUUUUUUGUGUGACGCUUGCUUGUCGCAUAAAAUUUGGUGCGACGGGCACCUGUUGCACAAAAAUUUUGAAUUUUCACAAAUUGGUCAACACCCAUUACAACAUAUUGCCGCCAACACAGUCUGACAAUACAUGAAGACCACCAACAACCACCACCACCACCAUCACAACAACACACAACCACAACACAAUACAAGAACAAUAUAAAGCAUGUGUUUGAAAUUGCUAACUUAGGGUUUUUGAACUUCAACCGUUGAUCUUAGAGAUCUUGAUUGCUAUUAGACGUGAUUUUGGUGGAAUUGGUGUUGUUGAACGUGAUUCCAGUGAGAUUGCCGCCGAUGAUGAUCUCCGAUUUGGCUGUCUAUGGUGCUGGCGUUUGGUGAGAAGUUUGGGUGAGAUUGACAGGGGUAUUGUGGUCCAAAAAUUUGUUAUUUAGCUAGUUUUGAUAUAAAAAAACUUGUGUGGUUAGUUUUAUAAUUACCUAAAGUAUUAUGGCUAAUUUAGUAAAUUUUCCAAUAUUUAAUUGGGCAUGUUAUUAUUAUUUAUGAAAAAUUGAAUUUGUGUUAAGGUAUAAGGAUUUUCAAACCUUGAAGAGCACACUUCCUUAGUGUUACACCCAUUUAACCAUAAAGAAAUAAACAAUCAUUGCUUGUUUAAUGAUUUCUAAGAAAGAUUAAAGUGACAUGACGUACACUCAAAAGAUUGAAUUGGAAUCUUUAAUAGUAGUACAUGUUUUCUAAUUUUAAGUUUUUUUUUACAAUAAUAGUUUAAUAUUAAUGGAAUUAGAUUUUCACAAUUAGUUUCUAAAUUUUUGGGUUAUCUUAUAUAUAUAUAUAUAUAUAUAGAGAGAGAGAGAGAGAGAGAGAGAGAGAGAGAGAGAGAGAGAGAGAGAGAGAGAGAGAGAGAGUUCUUCGGAUGACACUGACGUAUUUAGUUGUUAUUGAGAUAGUUAUCCAAAAAGAUUUACAGUUACUGAAUGUGUAUUGUCACUUAUUUAUAUCCACUAGAUCAAAAUCCUAUAUAUUUAUAUAUUUAAAGUUCUAGUAUACUUGAGAUUUUAAUAUAUUUAUAUAUUAUAACCAUUAAAAAAAGGAGAAAAAUCAUUUGUAUGUACAUGUUAUGAUUUUAUAAAUUUAAAAUGUAACACUUGUGACUUUAGAUAGACCUUUUUACUCUAGGUUGUAAAUUUAAAGGGUUCACACUUGUAAAAAUAUUGACUAAUACUUAAUUAAAUGGUGAUUGCCGAAUCCUUGAGUAUAUUUGUGAAAGUGGGUCUUUGAACCAAAUUGUUUCUGGCCAAUUGGAAUAAACAAGUUUGGCAACGUACGUAUGCAACAUAUGAUGAUACAUUGAUACUCCACUAAACGAAGACAAAACUUGAUGAUAAGUUUUACAAGGCAUGCUUACAAGACUUCCAUUAACUACAUAUUUUAUUUGGUUAAUUUGGAAUUGUUUUGUCAAAUAAUUGACUAAUUGUGAGAUUGUGUGUUCACUUUUCUUUUUGACAAUAAUAUAUAUUAAUUAUAUAUAGGUGAGUUAUUAUCUAAUAAGAGAUUGGUUAUUUUAAUAGGAUAAGGGAUAAGUUAAAAAAAUUAAAAAAUUACAUAUUUUAAUGUAGUAUAUGACAAAUUAAGUGUGUGUUUUUCUUACUUUAUUAAAAUAAAAGAUCUCUUAUUAAAAAAUUGCUCUAGGUACACUUUACCCAUAAGUAACAUUUGUUCCAAUAAUUAAUUAACAUGGGUAUUCACCUAACUUUAUGGUUAUGUUGUUUAGAAAUUUGUUAAUUAAUUGAACAAAUACAUGUGAGUGCCAGUUCGAUAAGAUGGUAAAAUCUUUUGUGUUGAAAAGUAAGAGGUUUGUGGCUCGAAUUCCGGUCAUAUGAGUUAGGAAGGAAUUGAAUUGUCAUUAGGUUAAAUAAUAAAAAAAUGACAAUAAUUACAUAAUUACAAAAACCUCACUUCGAAGAGGGAAAAAAAGACUAAAAAAAUCAUAUAACUAAUUUGAUUUUUUGUUUUUAUCAAUAUAUUUCUAUACUUUUCCAUGAUAUAUAAAAAAUAUGAUAUAGUUGUGAUGUGUGUUGUUUAAUUCUCACACUAUUUAACUCAAAAACUUAAGUUGUUAGAUAAGAACUCAAAAAUGAUAUUGAUAGUGUGAGAGUUAGAUUUUACCUCAAAUAAUACGAUAUUUUAAAUAAUAGCAUCCCAUGUUAGAAGUUUGUGAAAGCUAGGCUCAAUAUCUUAGGUUAGAAACUUGGUAACAAGCUUAAUACAUAAUCACAACAUAUCAAUGUCUCAUAUUGAAAACUUAGAGCAUCUCUAAAAGGUUUUAUUAAUUUUACUCUUCAAAUAUAUAUUUGCUUACCUACAUGACAAAAAAAAGAGUGAAAAAAUAUGUUACUUUCUAAAAAACUCUUCAAAUAAAAAUAAGUUAAUAUUAUUUUAAUUAAAUAAAUAUAUUUUCAAAGGAAAAAUAAAUGGUAAUUAAAGCACUUCUCUCUCCAAUAAAAAGUAAAAAAAAUAUAUAAAUUGAAGAGAGAAAAUUAUUUUUUAUUUGAAGAAUCUUAAUUGAAGUGUUUUUUAGAAUUUUAAAAAUUGAUAUAACUUUUCAAAUAAGUAAUAAAAUUUUAUUUAAAUUUUUUUUUAGAGAUGCUCUUAGGAGGAUAACUAGUUUAAUUAUUAAAGUGAAGCCAUGCGCAAGACCAAUUGAGUGGAUUUCUCUCUCAUAUCCUGUUUAACUCAAAAGCUUAAGCGAGUAAAUAAGAGUUAUAUAUAUUAAUAAUCUUAAUUUUUUCAAAGUAUACCAGCAAAUAUUAUUCUAUAUUUCUUACUUCUAUUCAUCAUGUCACCAAGUAAUUAUUAUAUUAAUGAGAUACAAUGAAUUAAGAGUGUACUUGUGUAUCCACGUACAUUAACUAAUCCAAUAAUCAUGGCCGAUUGAAUCAAACCAAAUUAAGUAAUUAACCAUUUGUCGAGCUUCUAGAAAAUAGAAAUGGAUCAAUCAAUGAUCUACCGUGUACUCAAUACGCAACUGACUUUUAUUUCAUGAUCUCAGUUGUCAAAGCAACGUUGAAUAAAUAUUUUUUCAAUAAAUAAAUUAAAGCAUUAAUCAGAGAUAAGUUUUUUAACAGAAUCAAAAUAUGGGUCCCCCCCCCCCCCCCCCCCCCCCCCCCCAAUUUGCUUACAAUCUAUUCUAAGGCCACGAAUGAGGACUAGUUUUUGUGAUAUUUUUAAAACCGAAUCCUCAGCCUGUAUUUUAAUAUGAUUUACAAAAUAUAUUAUAAACCCCACUAGCUAAUAGGUGAAUUUAAAAUCGGCAAGAACUUGUCUCCAUUUAUCAUAGUUGAAGUCGAGUUGAAAUCAACUUGCAAAUGAGAGAAAACCUAUUUCGACAACAGGUAGGAAGAUUAAAAUCCUCAACCUUAUUAACCAAUUAAAAAUAUGUCUGCAAAUUCUAAAUGAUCGAGGUAAGCUCGCUCCACUAAACUAUACAUACAUUGCUCUUAUCCCAAAAAUAAAAAAGCCGAGAGAUGUCAUUUAUAGAAUCAUAGCAAAAUGCAUAGCUAAUAGGUUAAAGCAAAUUCUGCUGAUGUAAUAUCCCCAAAUCAAAGUGCAUUAAUCCCAAAUAGACUCAUCACAGACAACAUUAUUACAGGAUAUAAAUGUCUUCACAAAAAUAUGAUCACCACUUGACUUGAAUAAUGAGUAAUUUGCUAGUAAGGUAAAUUUAAGGAAAUUGGAAAUUCGCUGCAUAUCAUUAUCUAGCAAUUAGAGAUUUUAGAGCAUUAGCAUGAAUUGCAACAAUUGAAGAAAAAAAAAACUAAAAUUGUAAUUAAGAUUGUGUUUUUCUGUUGAAUCACAUUCAAUACACAAAGUGAAGAAGAAGGAUCUAACAAAAAUGAAUUCAAGUUCUAUCUAUGCACAUACAUACAAUUAUUUUAUAUAAUUAUAUUGAAAACAUAACUUAAAGACCAUAAAGAAUACCAGGCAUGUUUUAACAUGCUUCCUUUUCUUUUUUGGGUCUGAAUUCCUGGCAUUGUGAGUACAAAUUGCUAUAGAUUUUUACACUAGAACAGAAGAAGUACAAACCAUACAAGCAUUGAAGCCAAUCUCACUUUAAAUUCAUAUGCUACAGUCCAUGGCUUUUGAUCAUUGAUUUUAUGCCCAUCUCAAUGGCAUUGGCAAUGCAAUCAUAAGCAGCUUAUGAACAGUAUUUUUCUCAUCUCCCUGUUGGGUUCACCAUCUGUGAGAAAAUUGCACUAUCUUGAUCUGAACUUUCAUUUGAUCCAUGGUCACUUCCUAUGCUGUAGUUUCUAGCAUUAUCAUCUUCAGCACCAUCAAUGCUACUUCCUCGCGAACGAUUUGAUGAAGCCUCUGUGCUUUCAACCAACUGAAGAACAAACUCUAGAUUCCACAACACAUCUCCCAUUGAAGGCCUAUCAAUUCCUGAAUCAGACAAGCACUUUUCAGCUGUAUCCGCGAACUUCUUUAAGCACUCAGGGCUGAUUUUAUCCUUGAGGAGAGGAUCAAUAAUGUCGUCAAGUAUCCCUUUUCGUUUGCAAUGCAGUGCCCAAUCUGCAAGACUGACUUGCUCCUUCGGAAGGCUAGGAUUCAGAGCAGGCCUUGCACACAAAACCUCAAAAAGGACUACCCCGAAUGAGUAGAUAUCAGAUUUUUCUGUUAAUUGUUGCCUUUUGAAGUAUUCAGGAUCUAAGUAACCAAAGCUGCCCUUCACCACAGUACUAACAUGGCCAUUUUCCAUGUUAGGACCAGUUUUCGAUAGCCCAAAAUCCGAAACCUUGGCAACCCAAUUCUCGUCAAGCAGAAUGUUUGUUGUCUUGACGUCUCUGUGAAUGAUUGUGUACUUAGCCCCUGUGUGAAGAUAGUGAAGUCCUCUAGCUGCUCCAAUGCAAAUCUCCAGCCUUUGCUUCCAUGAGAGAGCCUUCUUGGUAUUAUAAAUAUGCUCCCUUAGAGUUCCCAGAGCCAUGUAGUCAUAAACCAAGCACAUUUCGUUACCCUCCUCACAGAAACCAAUCAGAGAUACCAAAUGCUUGUGUCUUAGCUUUGAAAGCAUCUCAAUUUCGGUCACGAAUUCGUUCACUCCUUGUUCUGAAGAUGGGUUUGAUCUUUUGAUAGCCACUUUCAACUUAUCCUCUAUAACACCUUUAUACACCUUACCAAAACCUCCAACUCCAAUGACGUAAGACUCAUCAAAACUCUUGGUAGCAUGUUUAAUCUCUGCCAAUGAGAAGCGGCGACAAAGACCCUGGGCAAUUGCUGAAAGAUGGCUACUAGCAUUGCUUUUGCCUGAGAUUGUUGAUUUGCUUUGUGUUGUUUGAGAAUGCCCGUAAAUGGGCAGCCAGCUGGACGUGUGUGAUUCUGUUCCAGGGAUUCUCUGCUUUCUUUGGUACACAACAAAGCACAGGGCAGCUACGAGGCCAAAGGCAGCAGCUCCUCCAGCAGCACCUCCUAUCACAUGGAUAUUGGACUUGGAUUUAUUAGUAAAACCCUUUGUGCUGUUACCUUCAGACUUAGCAGGCAAUGCUGAUGGCUCAGGAUUGGGGCCUGCUAAGUUUUUAGCUGUUUCUAUCUUGAAUAUCUCCAAUCCAUUAAGAAGUGCGUCAAGAUAUUCAGGUUGAUAUUUCAGUGAUGGUGACAUUGCCACAAAAAUCUGAUCAUCACCAGGCAAAUCCUCGACAUAUACCGCGUAAUCUUUAUAAAUUGGUACUCCUUGUCCAUGUGUCCAAGCAAUCACAUCAGCAUCUGCCUGUGCUGUUUGAUUGUUGAUGUAAAUAUUGAAAACUCUUUGAUUGAUUUUGUUUAUAUCUGGUUUAAACUCACAGAAAUGCAACCUUACAUAGUAAGUAAAAUUGGCAUCAACCCGGAAAAUCCAUGUGAGAUUGAAUUCCAUAUUGGUAUGCGCAUCAACUCCCAUAUAUCUUGCAGUCAUGUAAACAUCAGGAGGAGCAGAAUAGUCUGGCAAAGAUUUGUAAUCAAUUUGAACCUCAUCAGCCUUCAUAGGGAUCCCAUAUCCAGCUCCGAACAAAUAAGGCUCAUCAUUCUGCCAACUCCUCAUAAGACCACCGGAAUCAUUUUUCGGAGAAAUGUAUUGCCCUGCAACAUUCAAUCUAAACAUUGUCUGCAUAUUCGCCGUCAUCCCAUCAAUAGUUUCGCCCAAACCAACGAUAAUGGCCUGUUCAAACAAGUCUGGAGAUGGAACCAACUCUAUCCCAUUAAUAAAGGCAAAAGUUCCGGAAUGCUUAUCAGAAGGCCUAAAGGUAAUUUUCAGGAUAUCAGAAUCCAUCGGAGCCAGUGAAAACUCUUUAAUAAGAUAAGCUUGCGCAACAGCUUGUGCUGUUAUUGAAGCACUAAAAUUGCUCAAAAGGAUAACAUCAUUGGCAACAACAGAGAAAUAAGAAUUCGCAACAUUGAGCUCAGGAUAGGUAGAUGGAUAGAAAUGGAAUCUAACCCAAUAACGAGAUUGUGAUCUUAUGGGAAGCUCAUAACUCAUUUCUUGCUUGAAUACUCUGGCAUCCAUGUACGGAACCUUAGAGACAAGUGAAGAGUCUUGGUAUGUAGCUCUCGUUGGUUUUGAUUCUCCUUUGCUCAAAUACUUAUCAUCUGGUUCCCAACUGCGUCCAUCUGCAUCAAUGCCGCCGUCUUUUGAGCCACAGCUCAAAGUUAAAGCUCCAGGGCCGUCCCCCCCUCCACCUCCACCUCCACCUCCACCACCUCCUACACCUCCAGAGUCUUGUGCAUAUAGAGUACCCGGGAUGGAGCUAAAUAUACAAACAACAAAAACCAAGACAGGGGAAAUGCUAUACAUCAUGGCCCAACUGGCGUACAGGAAAAUCACCGAAAAAUAAAAAAGACCGGUUAAGCUGAUCAAAGAAGAAAGAGGAAAGUGAAAAAAAGAUGUUUUCCUGUACGCGGAAAUCACAAUGUUAAAUGAUUUUGAUGUUGGUGAUGGUGUAAUAGGGGGCCAAGCCUAAAUCAGAAGCUAAGGAGUGAUCCAUGGGAACUCUAUCAUUAUUUUAACAAGCUUGCCUGGAAUAAAGGACCAAACCAGGCAAGAAGAAAUGGUGAAGGUUUUUUGAGGCUUAUUUCUUUGAAAUUGGCCUCCAAUUUUUUGUCUGGGGAUUUUGGUCCAAAGAGUCUGUUUCAGAGUUUGGGAGCGGCUUGUUGGAGAAUCAGUGAACGAGAGCAACAAUCGUUAUUGCAUGAUUUGUUUGAUUGGUUCUCAAUGCUUUGAAAGCUUAAUUUAGCUUUCUUUCUCUUUUUUUUUCCUAAAAUUCCUGAGACUUCAAUUUUUUUUUUUUUUCCCGCACGCAUAGUUUAUUGGGUUGUCAUAUGCUGUCAUUUGCAUGAUUUGCAAUGCAUCCAAAAAUUUAACGUCAUGGCAUUUUAUUAGUAAAUUACGAAACAAGUGACCACCUUUUAGUCAGAGAGACAUAACGAAUUUUAUUCCUCAAACAAUUAAUAUAGUUCAUGAAAAAGAAGCUACAAGAGGAACAAAGGAUGAAAUAAUGAAUUACAUCUUGUGAUUUCAUUAGUAAUAAACUAAUGUUAUUAUAUAAAUAUUUCUUUAUGGCGUUAGUAGCAGCGGUUUUAGAUAAAUUUGUGUGAAAAAUGUAUUUAAUUUUGAGAAAGCAAUAAGAUACACAAUCCUAAUUUGAAAAAUGAAAAUCAAAAUGUCAAAGAAAAUUGAACCAUAUUAGAUCAAAUAAUUAAAUACCAUCAUUAUAACUAUCAGUUGGUUCAACUGGUAAAAUCUCAUAAUCAUACAAGAGGUCAAAGUUUCGAACUAACAGUGGAAACUUUGGCCUCUUCGUUUAAAAUGAAGGUCAUAAUGGAGAAAUAAUAAACUUAAAGAGACCAUAAAACAAUAAUAUAAAUCGAAGGGAGUCAAAACAUAAAUUUUACAAAAAAUCUUCAUAAGGAUUUUUUUUUUUAAUAGCUGCUGUUUGUUAGGAGUUCCAUUGAAAUGGAGCCAUGAAACCUAGGAAGCAAAUAUUUUGAUGGUUUAACAAAAACAGAACUAAUGUUUAUACUUGUAAUUAGGAUUGGUUUUAAGUAACAAUAAAAUCAGUCCUAAUUGAACAAAACACAACAUGGGGGAAGGAAGCCACAGGCCACUCGUUAUUCCAUGGUGGUUGUUAAUUAAUUUAAGUCAAGUAUAUAUACUUCAUAACAAAAAUUAUGCAUAAUUUAUUAAAACCAGUUACAUUAGUUAGUUUGUUUUUUUAUUUAUCCUAAUUAUCAUUGUGAUUAAUGGUUCUUGAAAUAGAUAACAUGGAUACGAAAAUUUUAUUAGAUACACAUGCAUAUAAAUGAUAUGUCUGUAUCACCGAACAUCUUCUCAAAACAAAAAAAAACAACAAUGAAUAAUAGCAACUUAUAGUUCACCAUCAUAUCCUUAAUUAGCCAACAAGGUUUUUAUAGAUACACACACACACAUGCAAGCUGUUGAACUACUUACAUUAUAGAACAUAAUUUACGGUAAUAAGGAUGUCAUUUUUCAUAGGUAACAAGUUUCGAAUUGAUUUUAAGAGGCUUAUGUAACAAAUUUUUAAAAUUUGAGGGAGGUUUUCCAUAAAUUUCAAAUCGACACAUGUAUAUUUACGUGCUUGUAUCUUGAGGAAGCUAGCUAAUCAAAUGUGCCCAAAUUAGCAAAUUAAUGAAAGAGACUGUGAGAACUCCUGAUUUUGUAGAAACCCUAGAUAUACGCAUCCCAAAUUUAGGCAUCGACAGAGAAUAGGAAAAUCUAGCAUUACUCUAGUUAAAAUUUAGCAGCCAGCACCCACCAAAAACAAACAAAACAGCUGCCAACAGAGAAAUACAAGGAGAAUAUUUGUUAACGUACACCAAAUUUAACUUCUGCAAAUCGCCACUUUAUCGUUAGAAAUGAAUGGCGAUAACAUUAAACCAUUCAACUUCAUCAAUGGAUGCCCGACGUCUGCGAUUCACCUACUGACUCUUAUUUCUCUCAUUAAAGCCCUCCAAAUCAUCUCCUGCAUCAUUCGGUCGGGUUGGUGUCGUUGCAAUAAACGGAAUAUAUAUAUAUAUAUAUAUAUAUAUAUAUAUUUUGUAACAAUUUCUUUUUUUUUUUUUGGGGUUCAGAUUUUUUAUAUAUAUUUAUAUUAUAUAUAUAGAAAAUAUAUAUAAAUAAUCAAAUUCUUUCAAAACAAACCAAAACAAAAUCCAAAAAAAAAAAAAGGCACCCCCGCCCGCAGAAACUCUAAAAGACCUUUCUGUAUUAGGCUGGCCGCACCAGCUGAUGCUGCUGCGGCUGCCGCUACCUCAGAUUAAACUCAGGUGAUCAAAUUUAUAAUUUUUCUCUAAAAAAAAAUGGAUAAAAACAAAGCAAGUCUUUCACAAUCGGUUUCGUCCUCGUCGUCUUCGCCGCCGUCGUCAAUGCUGACAUCUUCGGACACAGAGGAGCUGAGGCGGAUGCCACUGGCUCCAACAUCGUUGAACAAGAACAAGAAGCGGUUGUCGAAGCAGCUGUCGAUGUGCGAGACCCCGCGUGACAUUGCAUGGGAGAAGAGGCGGCGGCAGAUGCUGAGGCAAGAGCGGAGGAAGAAUGGGAUUCAUGAUUCCGAUCAAGAUUUGUUGACCGAUGAGGAUUUGCACGAGCUCAAGGGCUGCAUUGAGCUUGGCUUUGGGUUUAACGAGGAAGAAGGUCAGCAGUUAUGCAACACCUUGCCGGCUUUGGACCUUUACUUCGCCGUCAACCGUCAGCUUUCCACCAGUCCGGUGUCCACGCCUCAGAGCCGUGCCUCCACCUCGUCCUUGGGAGGCCGCUCUUCGUCGUUUGGGAGCCCCAGAAGUGACUCGGAUGCAUGGAAGAUUUGUAAUCCAGGUAAUCAGGAUUUUCUCAUGAACUCAUGAACUUUUAACAGAUUUUUAUGUAUCGUGUACAUUACUAAUAGUAUACGGUUAAGAUUUAACCGUUCUCCUAAUUCUAUCUUUUAAACACCAAUUACCAACGAAAAUUAAGUAACAAAAUAUGCUCUCUCUCUCUCUCUCUCUCUAUAUAUAUAUAUAUAUAUGUAUAUAUAUAUAUGAUGUAAUGAUCUUUAUGAUUGAUUAUUUCAGCAGAAACAGUGAUUGAUUUUUUAUGAUGGAAUUGUUUUGCUUGUUGUAUUGGGUUGGCGCAGGGGACAAUCCUCAGCAAGUGAAGACCAAGUUAAGGCAUUGGGCGCAAGCUGUUGCAUGUUCUGUAAUGCAAUCCUUCUAAGAGAAUGGAUGGAGAUCCAUGAUAUUCAAAUUCAACAUUCAAAUGUCUUUGUACAGAAAAGUGAAAAGAAAAAAAAGAAAGAAAUGAGAAAGGUUGUCAAAAAUAAUUAGGAUUUUUUUCUUCGUAAGCCUUGGCAUCGAUGCUUCACUUCCAACAAGGAAAAAAGGAGCAGCAUGCAGCCAGCAGUCCUGAGUUUUUCGAUGUUAAGGCCAAUUUAUUAUGAGGUCAUGAUGAUCGAUGAUGGGUUUUUUUUUUUUUUUAAUUUCUUUUAAUUGAAAGUCUUGUUUUUUGGCAAAAUUCAGAACAUGUACUCAGAUUUAGUGUCAUAUGUAUCUCAUGCUGUAUGGGAUUUAACAGCAUCCAUUUGUAGGCAUUUUGAGCCUCUUUCCAUGGUGAAAAGGAUUGAGGAAAUUCUUGUAAUGUUUCAACAUUACUAUUAAUGUGAAAGUGAAUUUGAUUAGAUAACUUAAACGUGGUUGACGGAUUAUAUACAUAUAUAUUUUGAAUUUAACAAACAAAUUCGAUCUUUUUAUUCAUAGAAUGAAUUUUCCUUUAAUUUAUGCCAAAUUGGUAAAGAAAUGGUUUGUAUUUUCUCGGUUACUGGAGGAAUUAUUUCAUUCAACAAAUACAUGUGAUGACAUGAUAGCAAAUGAAGAGCUUGGGGAUACAUUGUUCCAAUUUUAAAUUGUUAACAAUUAUGUGAUUGAUCGUUAUAAACUCAGGAUCCGAUUCUCUCUUGACCCAAUAUUUUCUAAAUUUUGUUGAAUAUUUUUAAACAUGUCGUUUAAGCAAUUACAUGGCUAGGAUUUAAUGUACCAUUCGCUAGUUUUCCUUAGCAAACAGGUCGACAAAUUUAAAAAACGUACCCCUCGCGUUGUUUAGAGAAAGAAUUUUUAUUGUUCAUGUUCAAAAAAUUCAAGUUCACAAUAAUCCUUCAAAUUUAUGUUUUAAAGAUUAAUGACCAUAAUUCAAGGUGUUGAAAGUUAUAAGUUCAAAGUCUAAUGAGGAUGAGGUGAUUCUUUCUCUUUCCCACGAUGCCUAUAUAAAGGAGGGGGAAGUAGCUUCAAAGGGACAACUAAUUAUUUCUGUUGGGGUUAAAAUUUGGCCGGAGCAAUAAGGGCAUGACACGUGUAUCAAAACUACAAUUGCCGAUAUGCCCUUCAUAAACCACGAAAUUAAGGGGAGUUCAAGGGUAGAAUGAAAAAAAACCUCCAAAGUUAGACAGCAGGCACCCUAAAGCAAGGUCAGAAAAUAUUCUUCAUGAUGGUCUAAAAUCGCCAUAUGUCUUCAAAACACCACCGGGCACCAGAUUUGGGAAGGUACCACUUAGACCAUCUCAACAAUUAUCUAAAAUAUCACCCUCACAGUUAUAAAAUCGUGAAGAGAGUACCACAGUUGAAUAUGAGUAGUACCAGUAGCAACAAAAUGCAGGUAUUCUCUUGAUCUCCUUGGCUAUUCAAAAAGAGCCAAUAAAGAAGAGCCACCCACUAUACUGAAAGGACAGUCACAUGCACCAAAAGCGAGUGCUUUCCUCUCAGCCACCAUUUGCCCUACCCAUCAAAUAAUAUUGAGGAUUAUGAAAUCAUCCCUACCUGAGGAGGGGAACAGCCACACGUAUCCUGUCAUAUGUCUAAAAAGACACGAGGACAUUCUCAGGGGCACUCCUCAUACAUAAGGUGAGGGAGAGGAAAAGAGUGGAAUGGAGAAAAAGGGAGAAGAAAGGAAUGGAGAAGAGUAGUAAAAUUAAAUUUUGUUAUUUGGUUUGAUAUAAAAUUUGAUAAGGAAAUGAAUUAUAAUUUUUUUCUUUAGACAAAUUUAUUAUUUAUCUUAAAUAUUAAACUAUUUAUAUUAGUAAUAAUAUAUAUAUAUAUAUAUAUAUAUAUAUAUAAAAUAAAAUGGCGGUUCGGUGGCCGGCGGCGGAGGUCCGGUGAUAUUCCGGCGAUGUCCGACAGUGGUCCGGCAACAUUUCGGCGAGGAGCGACAGUAGUCCGACGACUUUCCGGCGGUGGUCCAUUUAUAAUAUUAAAUCAAUAAAAUAAUAAUUAUUAAUAGCAUUAAAUAAGUUAAAAAGAUGAAAGGUAAUUUUGGAAACUUUAGUUUCUAAUAGAAGAGGAAUUUAAAUUCUUCACUACUUAGUGUGGAAUUCAAAUUCUACAUUAUGAUGGAUAUUAAAUUCUAAUGGAAAUUAAAUUCUUAUACAUUUUGUCAAACCAAACAAUGAAAAUAAAAAGAGAAUUUAAAUUACUUUCCUCUCCUAUAUUCUCUCCUCCCAACCAAACAUGACCUAAAGGAAAGAUCUGUACAAACACAAAAAAAUGCUCAUCUUCAACCUUGUUUUACGAUUUCUAAGAAACCCAAUGUUCCUCUGACAUUUUGUUGACUUAAGUAUCGGAGUGCCAGUGCUGCAUCUAAGGCCACCUUCCCUUUUUUACAGGUCUACAUUGAGUCUUUCCUAUCAAAUCUUACACAAAAAUUAGUGAAUUUGUCUCCUUAUCUCCAUCUUUACAUGCUCUCAUAAUAUCUUUCGACUAUCCUAAAAUUAGACUGAAAAAAUUUCUAAAGACUCUCACGAAUUAAGAACUAAUUAAAAUGGUUAAUUUUCAUAUAUUAAUUAAAUAAUACCAUAUAUAACUGAUAAAUCAUACUUUUUUAGUGGUUGCUGCUAAAGCGGAUCGUAUCGAAGUUACGUCAUUAUUAUUGUUGAUUGGUUGAUAACCAUAAGAUUGGAAAAUCCUCCAAACUUGCAAAAUAAGUACCAUCUUCUUAUUAUCUUGCACCCUCAUUUUCUUUAGGUUUCUCAUUUUCUUCAGGGAGAUUGCCAAUUUUCCCCAUACAGUAAUCAACAUAUACCAUUUUCCCCCUUGCUAUUUUUAUAAUGGCCAAAAAUUCCUCUGAUAGUAUAAGUUUACAAUAUUACCCUUAUUUUCAACUACUCUUUUAUUUACAUUUAUUAUAAAUUAAAUAAAUCACAUGAUAGAAAUUAAAUAAAAAAUUAAGCAUUAAAAAUAAGAAAUAUAUGUUUUGAUAUGAGCAAAAAAAUUAAUAAUAAAAAUUUUUUCUUGUACUUAUUUAUUUUGUGAAAAUUUUCUUAUAAUAAAUAUAUAAGAAAAUUAUUAUAAAAUGAUAAAAAAAAUAUUAUAAGAAAACUUGAAUGAUAAAUAAAAAUUUAUUUUAAGAUAAAUAAUAAAACAUUUUGCCUAUACUUUUUGCAUUUAAUUUUAAAAUAUUACAAAAUAUUUAUUAUAAGAAAAUAUUCAAAAAAUAAAUAAUUAUAAGAAAAAAAAUUUAUUAUUAAUUGUUUUGCUCAUAUCAAAACAUAUAUUUCUUGUUUUUAAUACUUAAUUUUUUUAUUUAGUUUCUAUUCAUGUAAGUUAUUUAAUUUAUAAUAAAUGUAAAUAAAAAAGUAGUUGAAAAUAAAUGUAAUAUUGUAAACUUGUACUAUUAGGGGAGUUUUUGGACAUUAUAAAAAUAAUAGGGAGGUAAAUGAUAUAUGUUAAUUACUGUAGGAGGGAAAGUGACAAUCCCUCUUUUCUUUAGGUUUCUUUGUAUUUUUCCAACGUAAUAAUAUUAACCAUAACUUUUGAAUUCAAAACUAAAAGUAACAUCUCUAUAUUUGUUAUGUUGGGCUCGGGUGCUCAAUUCUAAAAAUUAUUUUUAAAUAUAUAAAAUAUAUUUACCAAGAUGGUUUAGAUCAAUGUAGUGUAUAUUUGAAAUUGCAUUCGGAGAGGUAAAGAACUGAGGCUCUAUUUGGUAUGCCAUUUUAAAUAAAGAUUUUGUUAGGAGAGCUUUUAUAAAUAUAGUUUUUACCUAAAAAAUUUUAAUUGUUUAGUUAUCAAUGACAGUUUUUAUUAAAAAUUAUAAAAUUACUUUAAUAAAUAAGUUUUUAUGUUACGAAAAGAAUAAAAUAAGAUUGUUAAAUAAGUAGAUGAUAUUUUAAAUACUUUAAUAUUAAAAAAAUUUCUUACCUCAACUCCCAAAAACCCAAAAUUUAAGUUUUUUCUAGUAGAGGCAAAAUCGUUUAUUUAAUCUUCAAAAACUCUACUAAAAAAAUAACUAAACAAUAACAAAAAUUUUGAUAGGAGUUUAUGAGAUUAAAUAAGUACUUAUGACCAUUAGAUAAGUUAUACCAAAUAGGUACUUAAAUAAUUAAUUUAAACUUAGUACACGACUCUAUUUUUUCAAAUAUAUGCACAUAUUUAAAGGUGUGACUAAAAAGAUCACAUAAAUGUUUUUUUAGAUAAUUAUACUUUGAUUAUAAUAACUAAAUUUAUAUAAAAAAAUAAGACUCUAUGAUAAUUUUAUAAAAUAAAGUGUUGUAAAUAUGAACUCUCACCAUUUUGAACUCAAAUCCCACAUUGGAAAAGCAAUUCCCCAUCCUAGCUUUUGUUGCCUAUAUAUAUAUUAUGCAUAUGCGUAAUUGUUGUGUAACAAAAAUUGGCUUAAUAAUAAGAUUGAUAAUAAGGUACUAAGAGUACUUUGUUUAGUUCAUAAAUUUUCUAUUUUCUAUAUACUUUAUAACACGCUAUUAACAUGAUGGCUAAUUUAACAUGGGCAGUUUAAUUUUUACUGUUUGUGUUUAUUUAUGCUUAUUUCUUUUAUGAUUUAUCAUUAUUAUGUUUUUAUAUUGUUAGUUUAUUGUGUUAUUAACUUAAUAAUUUAUUGUUUAUAAUAGUUUUAAUGGCUGAUUUUACUGCCUAUAUUGUUAUUAUCUUGUUACUACGUUAUUAUUCUGUUAAUAUGGUUUGUUUAAUUAAUUAAUUUAUUUAUAUGGCUAGUUUAACUGUCUAUCUUGUUUAAUUUAUUUACUUAUGAUUGGUUAAACUAACUAUCAAGUUAUUUUAAUUUCAAUAAAUUAUUAUUUGUCCUAGCAUAUAUUUGUCUUCGAAUAUUGUUGUUAUAACCUAAGUUUACAACACAAAUAAGAUGGUGAGAACCUAAAGUUCUAACAUCAUUAAAAUCAUAACCUAAAGUUCUAAGUUAUGAUUUUAAGUUAGAACCUGAAGUUCUAAAUAUAUGCAUGAGGUUUCUACAUAUUUUAUAAUUCUUGUUUUUGUUUAUAUCUAAAUAUUUCAUAUAUAUAUAUAUAUAUAUAUAUAUAUAUAUAUAUAUAUAUAUAUAUAUAUACUUAUUUCUAUUUUCUUUUUUAUUAGUAAUAAAAAAGUUUUUCUUGGAAAAUGUCAAGCCUCAUGAAUCUAAAAAUCUACGCUCUUGAAGUUUUCGGAAGAAACUACUUUUCUUGGGUAUUGGACACCAAAAUGCAUUUGCAAGUUAUGGACCUAGAAGGCACUACAAUAGAAGGAAAUGAGGCAUCUUUGUAGAAAAAAUCGAAGGCUAUGAUUUUCCUCCGCCACCAUAUACAUGAGAGCGUGAAAACUCAAUUUCUAAUGAUGGAGGGUCCACUAAAUUUGUAGAGUAAUGUCAAGGAAAAUUUUGACCACCAGAGGGAUAUUUUUCUUCCAAAUGCCAAAAACGAGUAGUUAAACUUAAGGUUUUAGGAUUCCACAAGUGUCUCUGAUUAUAAUUAUGCUCUGUUCCAUGUCAUCACAGAACUGUAAUUGUGUGGAGUAGAAAUUACUGAUAUAGAUAUGCUUAAAAAGACACCACUUUUCAUGAAUCAAAUAUUGUCCUGCAACAAGAAUAUGGGGAGCAUCAAUACAGAAAAUGCUCUGAGCUAAUAACAUAUUUUUUAAUUGCUGAUAAAAAAAAAUGAGCUCCUCAUGAAAAACCAUGAAUUACAUCCAAUUGACUCUCAACUAUUUCUUGAAGCGAAUGCAAAUAUAUAUAUUCAUAGUGGACGUAAUCGAGAAGGCAACAGAGGUUAUGGUUACUACCAUUGUUGUGGCCAUAAGCACAUAAGACUGUAGAAUAACAGAAAUGGACGCCACUGGAAAUAGAAUAUCUAUGAGAGGCAGAGUAAAGAAAAUGGCAUAGAAAGAAAAAAGUAAGAUAUGAUAAUGAAAAAAUUUGCUAUCGGUGUGAAGGAAAAGAUCAUUGGUCACAUACAUGUAGUAUAGACAAACAUUUGGUAGACCUCUACCAAGCAUCCAAGAAAAGAAAGAGAAAGAUUGAGACUAAUUUAGUCGAUAACUUAGAUCCUGAAGAUCUGACUCAUCUUAAUGUCUUUAAUUUCUUUGAAAACACAUAAUGGAAAAAUGAUCACUGUACUGGUGAUGGAAAUAUCCACAUUAAUUUAAUUCUCGUUAUUGUGCCAUAAUUAUUAAGUUACUAAUAUAUUAACUUUGUAUUUUUUGUAGUUUCAACAGAUAUACUUAAUGUUUAUAUCUAAUCCUACUAUCUAACGUGACUUUUGUUUAAUGUAUGAUUAUGGAUUUUAGAAACAAAUUAUCUAUUUCGAAAUCAAAAGUUGGGGGUGUUUGCUUGGUUGACAGUGCAACCACACACACUAUUCUUCAAGAUAAAAAUAGUUUUUGGAAAUAAAAUAAUGUGAAGAAAAAGUGAAUAUUAUAUCUAGUCCUGCAAACUCGAUAAAAGACUUCAGAAGAGCUAUAUUAUUGUUAGCAAGCAUAACAAAACUAGAAAUCCAGAAUGCUUUAUAUUCAGCAAAAUCUAAAAGAAAUCCAUUGAGCUUUAAAAAUAUCCGCCGAAAUAGAUAUCAUAAUGAGACUUUAAGUGAAAAGAAGGCAUAUUAUCUAUACAUUAUUAAAAAUGUUUCGGGAAAAAAAUUUAUAUUAGAAAAAUUCAAAGCAUUCUCAUCAAGAUUGUAUUACACAAUCACAAAUUCGAUUGAAAGCUAUGAAAUGAUGAACUAGAAGUUCAUAAAUCCAAAAAUAUUCAUAUUGUGGCAUGAUCGCCUUCGACAUUUUGGAUCUACAAUGAUGUGUAGAAUUAUUGAGAAUUCUCAUGGAUACCCAUUAAAGAACCAGAAGAUUGUACCGUCCAAUGAGAUUGUUUGUAUCACUUGCUCACAAGGAAAAAUUUGUGGUUGGACCAUCCUCUUCUAAGAUUGUUCGUGAAUCUCCAUCGUUUUUGCAAAGAGUUCAAGGAGAUGUAUGUGAACCAAUCCAUCUACCUAGUAGACCAUUUCGCUACUAUAUAGUUUUGAUUGAUGCAUCUGCAUGCGGUCACAUGUUUGUUUAUUGUCCACUCGUAACAUUGCAUUUGCAGAUAUUUUGCCCAAAUUAUGAGAUUAAAAGCACAAUUUGCUAAUUAUCCAAUUAAAAUCAUACGUCUGGAUAAUGUUGAUGAAUUUACAUAAAAGACAUUUGAUGACUAUUGUACAUCAAUCGAUGUCGAUGUUGAGCAUCCAGUUCCAAAUGUACACGUACAAACUGGAUUAAAGGAAUCAUUGAUUAAACAGUUGCAUAUAAUUACAAGAACCUUACUUAUGCAUGCAAAAUUACCAAUAUCUGCAUGGGGUCAUGCUAUUUUACAUGUUGUAGUAGUAGUUCAUCUUAGACCUACGGCUUAUCAUCAAUAUUCUCCAACACAGAUUGUACUUAGUCAGCAACCUAACAUUUCCUAUCUACGUAUUUUUUGUUGUGUUGUGUAUGUUCCUAUAUUACCCCCUCAUUGCAUGAAGAUGAGUCUUCAACGUCGUUUGGGGAUUUAUGUUAGUUUUAACUCAUCUUUAAUUAUCAGAUAUCUUGAACCCUUGACGGGUGAUCUUUUCACCAUAUGUUUUGCAAAUUGUUACAUUGAGAGUUAAUUUUUCUAUCAUUGGGAAAUGGAAAGCCUCUUAAAGGAAGGUAUGAAUUUUCUUGAAAAGUUUCGACUUUAUCUCAUUUAGAUCUUCAUACCAAUUUACAAGAAAAUAAAGUAUGAAAGAUUGUAUAUUUACAGCAAAUUGCAAAUUAACUACUAGAAGCAUUUACAAAUGCAGCAAAGGUAACCAAGUCACGUGUUCUUGCUGCUCAUACACCAGUCCAGGUGGUUGUUCUUGUAGAACAAUCAAGUGUAAAAGCAGCUAAUGAGUUAUCUUUUACACGUAAAAAAUGUGGCAGACCACUUAGUUCCAAAGAGAGUUCUCCUUGAAGAGGAGAAUGAAAAAUCAAGAUCUUGUUAAAAAUAAUGCUCGAGUUAUUAAUGUGCCCACAUUAUUUGAAUCAUCAGUUCCAGAAGAACUGAUAGUCUUUGAAAAGACAUAAGUCCCUGAGGAGACAAUAACCUUUGAAGAGUUACGAAAACCAAAAAAUGAGAAAAAAAUCUAUAAAUUAUACUUAUACAAAGGAAAUGUGGGAUCUUGGUGAAAUGAACAUCGACAAUGUAUUUUCAUUCAAAGUAGCUAUUGAAAUUUUAAAUGAUUUUCAGCAUAAAAUUGUUUAUAAAUGUACACAAAGACAUAAUUAGCAUGAAUGAAAAGAAGCAAUUCAAGCAUAAUUGACUUCGUUAGCUAAACAUGAAAGUUUUUGGACCUAUAGUCCAGACACCUAAAGAUUUUAAGCUUGUUAAAUGCAAAUGGUUAUUUGUACGAAACAUAAUGAGCAUAAUGAAAUCACUAGAUACAAAGUGCGACUAGUUGCAUAAGGUUUCUCUCAGAGACAUGAUAUUGAUUAUGAGGAUAUUUAUUCUCCAGUGAUGGAUGCUAUUAUGUUUAAAUUUUUAAUCAUCAUAAUAGUCUCAGAAAGACUUGACAUGCAUCUCAUGGAUGUAGUGGUUGCAUAUCUAUAUGGGUCACUUGGCGCUAAUAUUUAUAUGAAAAUCCCUAAACGAUUUAAAAUACCUAAGCAUUUAAAUUAACAUAUUGCAAUAUGUGUUCAAUCAAAUAGCAACAGUCCUUAUAUGGAUUGAAAUAAUCUAGACACAUGUGAUACAAUCGUUUGAGUGAAUAUUUAAUUAAAAAAAGAUACAAAAAUGAUCUUAUUUGCCCAUGCAUAGUCAUUAGAAAAUUCGAGUCUAGAUUUGCAAUUGUAACAGUUUAUAUUAGGGGUGGGCACUAUUCAGUUUGGUUCGGUUCAGGGGCUAAACCGAACCAAACUGAAACCAAAUGGUUCAUGAAUUUAUGAAUCAAAUGCGAACCAAAUUAUAGAACCGAACCGAACCGAACCAAAUUAAUUUUGUUCGGUUUGGUUCGGUUAAGUUACAUUUGAUUUUAUCCUAUUUAUUCAUUAUUCAAUAAAAAAAUAUAAUAUAAUAAUACACUAUUAAUACAACAAUAAUCUUGAGUCUAUAAAUUAGCAAACAAUAAACAACAUAAUAAAAUUUAACAAUAGUAAAUUAACAUAAUAAAUUCCAAAAACAAUCUAGAAAUCCAUAAAUAAUAACCAAUAUAAUUAAAUCUAACAAUAAUAAAUUAAAAUAACAAAGUUCAACAAUAAAAUAAAGUGUAUGCUAUGAUAUAUAUAAUAUCAUGUAUUAAUUAACAAACAAAAAUAAAAAAGAUAAAUUAUGAACUAUUUUUUAAUUUUAAUUUUAAUUUUUUCUUGAACCAUUUGGUUCGGUUUUGAACCGAACCAAAUAAAAAACCAAAUGGUUCAGAAUUUCUGAACCAUUUGGUUUUUUACUCCGAACCAAACCGAACCAAAUUGUCAUAAUAUGGUUCGGUUCAGUUUGGUUCGGACUGAACCGAACCAAAUGCCUACCCCUAGUUUAUAUUGAUGACAUGAACUUAAUAAAAACUCCUAAAUAACUCCUGAAUAUUUAAAAACAUAUUUUGAAAUAAAAAAUUUGGGGAAAACGAAAUAUUGCCUCGGUUUGCAGAUCUAGUAUAAAACAAAUGGAGUGCUUAUUCAUCAAUUAGCUUAUGUUGAACAAAUCUUAAUGCAGUUCACUAUGAAUCAUGCUCAUUCCCUAAGCACUCUUAUGGUUGUUUGGUCUCUCAACCCUAAAAAUAAUAUAUUCUGACCUAAAAAGGAUAACAAAGAGAUACUUAAUCUAGAAGUACCAUUUCUAAAUAAAAUUAAUGUUUUGUUAUAUAUAACUCAAUGUGCGAGAUUGGAAAUUGCAUUCAGUGUGUAUUUGUGGGUGAGAUUUAACUCAACGCCAACACACUGACAUUGGAAUGACGUCAAGCAUAUCUUCUAAUUUCUGCGCAGAACAAUAAACUUGGGGUUAUUUUAUUAAAGUCAACCAAUGGAGAAUCCUGAUCGUAUCAGUUAUGCAGACGUAGGCUACAUCUCUGACCCUUACAAAGUCCGUUCACAAAGAAAAUAUGCUUCCACGUACAAUGGCACAACAAUUUCAUAGCGAUCUCCUAAGCAGACCUUUGUUGUCGCCUCCUCUAAUCACUUGGAGAUCCUCGAGCCACAUGAAGCAAGCAGGGAGUGUAUUUGGUUGUAGUCUAUUAUCCAUCAUAUUCAAAGCACCUACAAUUUGACGUCCGCAACUGAUAUUCCAACAAUUAUAUAUAAAGACAAUGCUGCUUGUAUUGCUUAGAUUAGAGGAGAAUACGUCAAGGGAGAUAAAACUAAACAUAUUUCGCCAAUAUUUUUUUAUACUCAUGAGUUGCAGCAGGAUAAGAAAAUUAAUGUUAAACAUAUAUGCUCCACUAAUAAUUUUGCUAAUCUUUUUUAUUAAAACUUUGCCUACAUCAACGUUUGAAAAGUUAAUCCACAGUAUUGGCAUGUAUCGACUCAACAAAUUAUCAAAUUGAUACAUGAUAUCUGAGGAAAUAUUUCUUCAGGAGAGUAUUUUAAAGAUAAGAGUUUAUGUAGCUGAAUUAGAUAAAUGUGCACUAUAAUUUUUUUUUCUUCGAUCAGAUUUUAUCCCACUACGUUUUGCAGACAAGGUUUUAAUAAGAAAAUAUUAAGCUAGUUAAGUGCCUAAAUAAUGAAAUUCACGGGGGACUGUUGUACAUAUGAACUCUCACCAUUUUGAACUCAAAUCUCACAUCGGAAAAACAAUUCUCCAUUGUAGCUUUUGUUGCCUCUAUAUAUAUGAUGCAUAUGUGUAAUUGUUUGGUGUAACAAAAUUUUUUUAUUUAUAUUUAUUCUGUAACAUAAAGGAGUAUUUGUGACCUUUUUAAAAUAUAAAAAAGGGAGAAGAGUUGCGAUUUGUGUACCCGAGUCUUCUAAUUUCUCUUCGAGUUUCAACUCGACAAAACCGCAGUUCUUUCCUAAACCAUAAACCUCAGAAUCUUCUGAGACACAGAGACAAGUUUAUAACUACUUUUUUAAGUUUUAACUUAAACUGCAUAGUUUAAGAUUCUCCCUUCUUUCUCUCAGUCACAGCAAACAGCAAUGGCCCCUGAUGCUUCUCACGCUCUUGCAGGUUCUUUAUCUUAAUUUAUUGUUUUGAGUAAUUUGGCCAUCUGGGUUGUAUUCAUAUCUUUGUGGGGCAUUAAUUUUCUGUUGUGAUCUGAAGCAUAAAGCAGAUGUCUAUUUAUCUUUGAGCUCAUAGUAAUGUGUUUUAUUAUUAAAUUUACUGGUGCAUAAGUUUAUUUUCCUUUUGUUGCUGCUUGAGUAGUUUGGUAAUCUGCAAUGAGCUUUAGAUUCAUGUGAGGCUUGAAUUCUUAUUGGUUUUGAAGCAUGAUUCUGUAUGAAUGCUUAUGUAGAUUGCUUGGUGCAUAAACAGUAAACCUUCUUCUGAUGUCGUUGUUGCUCUGUUGAAUAUAGUUAGGGAAAGGGUUCAACAGUUUCUGAAUGCUGCUUGUACUGGGAAUCUUGACCUUCUCAAGAGUAAGUUUGGCGUACGGAUUAAUAGCGGUUUAGGCACUUGUUUAUAAAUUUAAUUUAUAGUUGCAAUUUUCUUUUAAAUCUGAGAUGUUUUGGAAUCGAAUUUUACUGUUAGAGAUUGCGAAGCAAUUGGAUGAUCAGGGAAAAGGAUUGUCGAAAACUGUAGCAGACAUAAAGGAUGCCAACAAACGAGGUGCACUGCAUUUUGCAGCUAGAGAGGGCAAGACUGAUGUGUGCAAGUAUUUGUUGGAGGAAUUGAAGCUUGAUGUGGAUACACAAGAUGAAGAUGGUUUGUUCUUAAUGUUCUUGCUGUGCAUUCUUAGAUUUGUUGUUUUAAUCUUUGUGCAUGAAUUGGUGAUUGCACUAGAAAUCAUACCCGUGUGGUUUCUCCUACGUGGUUCCCUUUUGUUUUUGGUAGUUGUUUCGAGACCUAUGUUGUUUUUUGAAUGUUAUCAUGGGCUAAUACACUCACAAUUGCAGCAGAUACAUUUUUAUCUAGUUUUAGUUUUGUGUCCCCUUAUAAGUAUGAAAACUUAGACAUGGUGGUUGUAGUGUUACAACUAUGACUAUGAAGUUAUUUCGUCUGAUCUUCUAGAAUUUCAAAUAUGCAGGUGAAACUCCUCUUCUUCAUGCUGCUCGUCAAGGCCAUACUGAAGCCGCGAAGUACCUUUUUGAGCAUGGUGCUAAUCCUGCCAUUCCAAGUAACUUAGGAGCCACGGCUUUGCAUCAUUCUGCCGGAAUAGGUGUGCUAUUUUUUUUUUUUUCAUGUGAUAAUCUGGGUAGUGUGUCAUAGAAUUAUGAAAAUCGACUGCUUCAUUUGUUUAGUUGAUGCUGGUUAUGUGUUGGUAUUUAAAGGUUAUGGUAAAGGUCCCCAUCGUUUUAGGAAGUGUCAAAUUGUGAGUAAAUGAUGAAAUGAAAAUUUUUGUCAGUUAACAUAUAGCUUCCUUUCCUUUUUUCAGACACAAAUUUUCCUAUAGAAGGUAGACUGGUUUUAGAACUAAGUGGCCCUUUUAAUCUUUUUCUUGAUAAAAUAAUUGAAAUUUGCUUCUCUUCAAUGAGUUUUUGUACUAUCUGUGCAAGAAGAAGUACUUAAUGUUUGGUAUUGUCAGAUAAUAAUAAAAUCUCUUAAUGGUAUCACAGCCUGAUGUUGCUUGUUGUUUGCUGUCUUCAUUUAAAGCAAAAAUUUUAUGCAGCAUGUUUUGCUAGAGUGAAUGGAUCCGGUGUUUUUAACUUGUUGAGAUUUAAAUUUGAAAGUGUUUUGCAUUGUUGAACUAAAAGUUACAAUUUCUAGGCUCUUAAUGUAAAAUCUAGUAUUGAGGUUCAUUUUAGCCGUUGUGCCAAUUUAUUCUCUAGAUUUAUUUAGUUUCACUUGGUUACAGAUUCAUUUGAGCCUGACUGACUCAAUUGAUUUGAAUUCUUACAAUCAGUUCAUGCUUCAUUGCAGGAAAUAUUGAGUUGCUGACAUAUUUACUUUCCAAAGGCGCUGAGGUUGAUUCAGAAAGUGAUGCUGGUACUCCUUUAAUCUGGGCAGCUGGUCAUGGCCAACAAGAAGCUGUGAAAGUUUUGUUAGAGCACCAUGCUAAUGUAUUUUUUAUUCAUCAUUGUUCUUUCUUUGUUAUAUUAUGCUAAAACAUUCUGUUUCUUUUAGGUCUUUUGCUUAUUUAUUCAUUUUAUCAAAGCCUAUUUAUGUCAAAAUCAAUACAAAAAACUUUUAGUCAUUUACCUGGAAUGUGGGUCUAGUGCAUGUUAUGUGCAUAUUAUAUUGUUUUUCUUAUGUUGUUGUCAAUUGGUGUUGUUUGCAGCCUAAUGCUGAAACAGAAGAUAACAUCACUCCUCUAUUGUCAGCUGUAGCUGCGGGUUCACUAACAUGCUUAGACUUGCUUAUUCAGGUUUCCUAUCUUCAUUAGUCCCCUAAACUGUCAAAUAUUGAUAUGGAUUUGUUAAGGCGUGUCUAGAGUUUGUGCUUAGAUGUGGUCUCUGGAUUUUAAGAGGAAUGUUUGCAUUUACUUAUAUGCAGGCAGGUGCUAAUGCAAAUAUUGUUGCUGGUGGAGCAACCCCAUUGCACAUCGCUGCUGAUAUUGGGAGUACAGAAAUCAUAAAAUGCUUAUUGAAAGCUGGAGCUGAUCCCAAUGUCACCGAUGAGGUUCUGGCCAUUAGAGCAUUCGUUUAGUCAUGAUAUUGUUUCUCUAUCACACUUUUGUUGCUUGUUUGUUGUGUGUGUUUAUUUCCUUAAGUCUUUUAAACCCUUGGUUUGAUGCUUAUAUUUUUGUCUCUGCAGUUGAAGAUUGUAUAGAACUUUUGUUAUCAAUACCAAAAUUUUUUGAAAGUCUAGUUUCCUUAUCAAUGUAUUAUAGUUAGAGUUUUUCCUUUCAUGCUGCUAGGCUAUUUAUUUAUGUAUUGAUAUGAGUUUGUUGUUCAAAAUGGGCAAAGCCUCUUACCUUGCAAAGUAUACGAAGACCUCCUGAUGGAUGAUGUUGGCGGCCUUUAAUCACAGUGAUCUUCCAUAAAGGAUACUGAGUUCCAUCCAUCUAGUGACCUUGCUUUCACUAUAAACAUCUAAUCCCCGAACUCACUAUAAACAUCUAAUCCCCGAACUUGCUAGAAUUUUUUUUGAGAUUGACCUUUGCUAUCCUUUACCUUCAAGUUGGUUAUAAUCAAAUAUCCCUUUUUCAAGUAGUUGUUCUUUUGAGUUCACUCCACAAGGAAAUAUAAGCAGAAAUCUUUUGGGUCCAUAUAAUUCUUAUGAGCUUACUAUAUUGACAUCUCGUACAUAGAGUUUGCCCAACUUCAUCACCGUUUUAAGUCCCUCUGCAAAUUAAGGAGUUGAAGUGUAUUCAAAUUUAUAGAAGUAUGAUUUUAUGUAUGUUGAUAAUGGUAGUCGGUUUCAAGGUAGUAUUAGUUGAUUCCAAGUCUUACAUGGAAUAACUUAAUGACUUUUCUUUGCAUCACAGGAUGGCCAGAAACCCAUACAAGUUGCAGCUGCAAGAGGCAAUCGUGAGGCUGUUGAGAUCCUUUUUCCCUUGACAUCAGAAGAUCCCUCCAUUCCCAAAUGGACGGUUGACGGAAUUCUUGAAUACAUGCAAUCUGAAUCGGGGAAACAAUUGGUAAUCCAUUCAUUCUUGAAUUUGAUUUUAGGAGAGUGGUGGAAGGUCUGUGACUUGUGUAAUGGCCAUCCCUCAUAAACAUUAUACUUGCUAAAUUUCAAACUGCAAAACCUAGGACUUUUCAAGGAGUUUUUUUGUUCAUUUCAGAAUUUUUUUUUUUUUUUUGGGUCAAAUUAAGUGCUUGAGUAGAAAGAUGGAAAGAAUAAGUAGAUGAGAGGAAGGGAUAUCUCUAAGCUAAGAGAGAAAGAAAGAAUAUGUAGAACAAAGUUUCAAUUUAACACUCAGAAGUAGAUAGACAAACUGAUGUGCCCUUACGAUUACCUAGGUUAGUUAUAUACUCUAAGAUACUGUACUCACAUUUAGUGUGAAUAAUUGCAAUCUAAUACUAUUAUACUUAUAUACACUAAAAUGUUAUUUUUCAUAGAAUGUUCUAAAGUUGAACUUUUGCAGGAAGAAACAAGAAACCUGAAGGAAAAUAAUGCACCAAAAGACAAGGCUCCAAUGAAGGAGCUCCCUGAGGUACUAUUUUUUCUCUGCAAUUCAACUUUUCCUUUCGGUUAUGCAUUGCUUUUGUGCAGAUUAUUUUAUCAAGGUACUUUGUUUUCUUCAAUUUUUUUUAUAUACAUAUAAACUUCAUUGAGUGUUGCUGAAUAUUUUGUAAGUUCAAAUGAUGUACAACUGUUUUGAGUUUGUUUUUGCUUCAUAGUGGAUGAUUAUCUGUCCAAUGAGAUGAAGGAAGAAUUUUAAUUCUUUUAUGGUUGGUGGGCAAUUUGGUUUUUGCAAUAUUAGGAAAUAAUGAUCAAACCAAAACUUUUAAUGUUUGAUGUAGAAAAUUUGACGAAUAGUAGUUGGGAGAACUUCAUAUUGUAUCAUUUGGUCUAUUGUAGUAUUUUCUAGUUAUGGAUAUGUAGUAAAAGCUAAUCUUAUGGGAUUGGUUUCUUUACAUACUCUAUUUUUUAUUCAUUCAAUUUGUUUCUUUGAAGUUACUCUUUUGUUGAUAAUGUGAAAGAAAUUGGACAAUACCACUUCCCUGGGGGAUUGUCCUUUUCAAAUAAUUUUCCUUUUUAUUAUAUAACUCUUAUGGAUUUAUCAUAAUUUAAAUUUUUUUUUCUUUGUUUGUAUGUUAUCUUUUAUUCAAAAUUUGAGUAAAUUCUGUGGAAGCAUCUUAUUUCUGUUGUCCAAAUUUCUAUUAUGUUGUCUUGUUUCCCUGUUUUAAAUUUUUAUUACUUAUUCAGGUGCGGCCUGAAAUAAAGAAGAAAGCUGCAGAAGCAAAAGCAAGAGGAGAUGAGGCUUUCAAACAAAAGGAUUAUCUUAUGGCUGUUGAUGCAUAUACACAAGUAUGUUAUUCAUCUGUCCUCUGCCAUUUUGAUGCGAUAUUCCUUCUUAUUCUGUUACAAAUGCAGGGAUCUUUUUGAUGCUCUUGUUUAUCAGUGAAUGGUGGAGAAUUCAGUUCUGUAUACAUAAUGUUCUUGGCAUUCAACUUUGUUAGAUUUGAACAAUUGAAAUGACCUAUGUAUUUGACACUGUUGCAGUCUUCUAAUGUGGAGGUUCUCAAAAAUUGUCUCUGGGAAUAACAUUUUUGAAAAAAGCUAAACCUUUGUAUAUAAGAGUAUUCAGAAAUAGCUGUUAUAUGGCGCUCCUGCUGCUUCACAAUAUCAUGGGGACAAUUCAUGUAUUACCUUAUGACAGCAAGAACUAGUGGUUAAUUUGGCCACCUAAAUGGAAGAGCUUUCUGAAUUUCGUUUAAAAUACUUACUAGAUGAUGUUUUCCAGGCAAUUGAUUUCGACCCCAGCGAUGCCACAUUACUUUCCAACAGAAGCCUUUGUUGGAUACGUCUUGGACAAGCAGAGCAUGCCUUAGCCGAUGCAAAGGCUUGUAGAGCAUUAAGACCGGACUGGCCGAAAGCUUGCUAUCGGGAGGGUGCAGCAUUGCGUUUAUUGGAGGCAUGCUUUCAUCUUCACUCUUAUUGAAUUUUAAGGUUAUAUCCGUCUCACAUUAUUUGACAUUUUUAUUUUUGCUCUAUUUUCUAGAAAUUUGAUGAGGCAGCCAAUGCUUUUUAUGAGGGCGUGACGCUUGAUCCUGAGAAUAAGGAGCUUGUAAAUGCUUUUAGGUUUGUGACUGCCCACUUCAUGUCUUCCCGAUUUUGGUGGCUUAAAAUUUUGCUUGGCAUUUUUAAUUCUCUAAAGUUGGUGCCAAGCAGACUGUUGGAAGCAGGAUUUUAUUCUAGAACAGUGUACAACAUACACUUUUCUUUUCCCAUCUUUUGCAGGGAGGCCGUUGAAGCUGGGAGGAAGUUUCAUGGGACAGACAAGAAGUAAUAGUUUGUUCCAAUUCCAAAAUACGGAGACAAGAGACCAAAAAACCACUUGCACUAAUGAGUUAUCGGUGCGACAGGCUUAUUGUUAUUUUUGAGUCGUUGCCGCAAGAAAUUAUUCAGGUGGGAGUAUGGAUAGAACCCAUAUUUUAAGAUGCUAUUAACAGCUGUUUUUGAAUUUAGUUUCAUAGUAUCUUGUGCGAGUUCAAUAGGGGUUCAAGGGCUAGUUGCGGCCCUCUGUGUGUGUGCUGCGCGCGCGUGUGUUUUUUUUUUUAGUUGAAUUAUUCCUUCUUUCCAUCACAAAAUUUUGUAACACAAGACAUGAGACUUCACAAAAGUGCUGUAUCUUGUUAAUCAUUGAUGAGCAGUUACUUACUCUUUUACCAUCCAUAUUCUGAAGUUGCACAUUUUGAAUGAAAUGUGGGGAAAACAGUUGGCUGAAUGAAAUGGUCAAAGCUAGAACUCGAGGGAUUUCUUGUGAUAUUUUGUCAAAGACAAGAGAAGUCUUGGAAUCAUCAUCAUCAUUUCCUCUUCCAUUUUUUAUUUUGUGGUUUUCUCUCUUAUGAAUAAUUUAUAUAACUUUUUUCAAAAGAAAUUAAUUAAUGUAAUAACUUAUUUAUCAUAAUGCGAUAUUUUUUAUGGGAUAGUAUGAGAACCAAUAUUCUUCUGAAUUCUCAUUUAUUAAUAAUUAUCAAACUUACAUAAAAGAAGUAAAUCACCUUUAGUAUUGAAUGGUGAUCGAGUAUUUUGAUGUACCUUAGGAGUACAUUUUUUUUCAAUUUCAAGUGCCAAGAACAUUCAAGACGGCUUUAACUUUCAAUCUAAAAAAAAUAAGAUAAAAUAAAAUAAAUCAAUAAAAAGUGAUUUUUUUAAUAAUUAUUAGAAAAAUCUAAAAGAGAAACUCUACAAUUAGUUUUUUAAGUUUUUGUUGUCAAAAAAAAGUUAGUUUGUUAUUUUAAAAAAAAUAUUUUGAUGACUUAAAUUUUAUUUAUUUAUUUUUUUUUUUUUUGGGCUCAUUGUCAUCAUUGUAUCCACGAUCGCACGUUCUCCCUUUAAAUAAAAACAAUUCAUUUCCGUCAAAAUAAAUAAUUAAAAAUGAAAAAACUUUGCGAAACUAUAUUUCUUUUCUCUUCUAACUCCUCAGAUCAACGCCACAGCAGAAGGCCCUGAAGCAUACGAACACUGUUCCGGGGCGUCUCGCUCUGUCGCUGUCUCUCUAAAAUUUUCAGAUCCCAAUCAUGUCCCUAAAACCACCAACAAAUUACGGCUCUGCCACCACCACUACCAACCCAACAACAACAACAACAACAUCCCUCUCCUUCUUCUCACGCGCCGAGUCUCUAACGGCCACGCGCCGCCCAUGGCGCGAAUUCUUCAACACGUCGGCCCUCUCCCUCCCGCCGACUACAACGACGCAAUCUCCCGCGCCCGCCGGAACGCGAGCUACUUCCGCGUAAACUACGCAGUGGUAAUGCUCUUCAUCCUCUUCCUCAGCUUGCUCUGGCACCCGGUGUCGAUGAUCGUUUUCAUUGUCGUUUUCGUCUUGUGGCUGUUCUUUUACUUCGCUCGGGACGACCCAGUUGUCGUUUUUAACCAAACGUUGGAUGAUAAGUUCGUGUUGGGUUGUUUGACUUUGGUUACUGUCCUUGCUUUGAUUUUGACUGAUGUAGGGACCAAUGUGUUGGUGGGUUUGAUUGUUGGCGUUGUUUUAGUUGGUUUGCAUGCGAGUUUUAGGGCUACUGAUGAUUUGUUCUUGGAUGAGGAGAGUGCCGCCGAAGGUGGGUUGGUUUCGGUUUUGGGAGGGACUCAGCCCGUUAGGUUGACUGGUUAUACGCGAAUUUGAGGGAUUUGGGUUUGUUUUGAGAUUGUGUUUGAAAAUGGUGUUGUGACAUUCUAUAUAGAUUCUUUAGAUUAGUGUUUUGGACAAGCAUACUGCAGUUGAAGGUGGUUUGGUUUUACCCAUUAUAUUGACUGGCUAUAUGGGAGUUUGACGGUUUUCAGUUUGUUUUGAGUGUGUUUUUGGUUAUUUUGUUUGAUAAUGGUGGUGUGAGAUUCUUCAGAUUGGUGUUUUUGGAUGAGGAGAUUGCCGCUGAAUGUGGUUUGAUUUGAGUUGCAGGAGGGAGUCAGCCUGUUUGAUUGACUGGUUACAUGCGAAUUUGAGAUAUUUCAGUUAGAUUAGUGUUUUUGGAUGAGGAGAGUGGUUGAAGGUGGGUUUUGGUUGUGGGUGGGAGUCAAGCAGUUAUGUUGACUGGUAUAUGCAAAUUUGAUGGAUUUGCAUUUGUUUUUAUAGUGUAUUUUUGGUUUUGUGAGAUUCUUUAGAUUAGUGUUUUUAGUUCAUGGUGAUCAAGUGAAGUUUAAGGACGGUUUGGUUUUGUAGUUAUUCUGAUUGUUGUUUUUUGGAUUUUUGUGGUGAUAAUUGCGUUUUAUUGUUCGCUUAAGGAGAUGGAAUUUGGUGUGAUUGGUUAGCUUUAUCUUUUUGGGGAAGAUUGCAAGAAAAUGGAAGAGAUUGUUUGCUACUGUUGUUUGGAUUGAAGUGCGGAUCAUGUGUGACUUGAUUUCAUAUGGCCAUUUCACCAUUGUUUGUCAUUUGUAUUUUAUUUGUGGAGACGAAGUCAGUGUUGCGGCUGUAGAGAUUCAAUCAGCAAGUGUUCUGUUGUGGCAUCAAGGGAGGUGAUUUUAGAGGUUUUUUUUUUUUUUUGUGGAAUCACUAAUUUGGAACAAUUACUUCAUUUUCUUCACUCAAUUCUGAUCACUAAUUUGUGACGUUUGUUUAGCAAAAUUGGAACAGUUUGAAAUGUUCAGUCGAUUACAAAAUUCUUUUUCCUUGUAGCUAGUAUCUUGAUGCAUGGUUGUGAAUGGUCUUCAUACAAGAUGAUCAGUAGUAAUGGUUCUUUUUCUUUGGUACGGUCAUUUGUUUGGUACUUGUGAACAAAAUAAUAUUGAUCCUCAGAAAUUGUUAGUUGAUCAUUCAGUACAAUUAUCUAUGGUUCUGUUGAAAACUUGAAAUGAUGAAUUGGGCUGGAGGCAAGGACCAUAGGCUAAUAGCAAAUGAACUCAAUUGAUUGAAAUGGCUUCAGAUGGCAAUGAAUGUUAUUUAUUUAUUUAUUUUUCCCGUUUACCAUAAUUCUCAUGAAUCUUCUUGCGG